rnacentral:rRNA from 1 species
CAAAUCGUACCCCAAACCGACACAGGUGGUCAGGUAGAGAAUACCAAGGCGCUUGAGAGAACUCGGGUGAAGGAACUAGGCAAAAUGGUGCCGUAACUUCGGGAGAAGGCACGCUGACACGUAGGUGAAGUGAUUUACUCAUGGAGCUGAAGUCAGUCGAAGAUACCAGCUGGCUGCAACUGUUUAUUAAAAACACAGCACUGUGCAAACACGAAAGUGGACGUAUACGGUGUGACGCCUGCCCGGUGCCGGAAGGUUAAUUGAUGGGGUCAGCGCAAGCGAAGCUCCUGAUCGAAGCCCCGGUAAACGGCGGCCGUAACUAUAACGGUCCUAAGGUAGCGAAAUUCCUUGUCGGGUAAGUUCCGACCUGCACGAAUGGCGUAAUGAUGGCCAGGCUGUCUCCACCCGAGACUCAGUGAAAUUGAACUCGCUGUGAAGAUGCAGUGUACCCGCGGCAAGACGGAAAGACCCCGUGAACCUUUACUAUAGCUUGACACUGAACAUUGAGCCUUGAUGUGUAGGAUAGGUGGGAGGCUUUGAAGCGUGGACGCCAGUCUGCGUGGAGCCGACCUUGAAAUACCACCCUUUAAUGUUUGAUGUUCUAACGUGGACCCGUAAUCCGGGUUGCGGACAGUGUCUGGUGGGUAGUUUGACUGGGGCGGUCUCCUCCUAAAGAGUAACGGAGGAGCACGAAGGUUGGCUAAUCCUGGUCGGACAUCAGGAGGUUAGUGCAAUGGCAUAAGCCAGCUUGACUGCGAGCGUGACGGCGCGAGCAGGUGCGAAAGCAGGUCAUAGUGAUCCGGUGGUUCUGAAUGGAAGGGCCAUCGCUCAACGGAUAAAAGGUACUCCGGGGAUAACAGGCUGAUACCGCCCAAGAGUUCAUAUCGACGGCGGUGUUUGGCACCUCGAUGUCGGCUCAUCACAUCCUGGGGCUGAAGUAGGUCCCAAGGGUAUGGCUGUUCGCCAUUUAAAGUGGUACGCGAGCUGGGUUUAGAACGUCGUGAGACAGUUCGGUCCCUAUCUGCCGUGGGCGCUGGAGAACUGAGGGGGGCUGCUCCUAGUACGAGAGGACCGGAGUGGACGCAUCACUGGUGUUCGGGUUGUCAUGCCAAUGGCACUGCCCGGUAGCUAAAUGCGGAAGAGAUAAGUGCUGAAAGCAUCUAAGCACGAAACUUGCCCCGAGAUGAGUUCUCCCUGAGACUUAGAGUCUCCUGAAGGAACGUUGAAGACGACGACGUUGAUAGGCCGGGUGUGUAAGCGCAGCGAUGCGUUGAGCUAACCGGUACUAAUGAACCGUGAGGCUUAACCUU